rnacentral:tRNA from 1 species
GGAGGGAUGGCAGAGUCUGGUUGAUCGCGGCGGUCUUGAAAACCGUUGUUCCGCAAGGAACCGGGGGUUCGAAUCCCUCUCCCUCCGCCA